UACAGGGGGGGCAAGCGUUGCUCGGAAUUACUGGGCGUAAAGGGUCUGUAGGUGGCCAACUAAGUCAGACGUGAAAUCCCUCAGCUUAACUGGGGAACUGCGUCUGAUACUGGAUGGCUUGAGUGUGGGAGAGGAAUGCGGAAUUCCAGGUGUAGCGGUGAAAUGCGUAGAUAUCUGGAGGAAUACCGGUGGCGAAGGCGGCAUCCUGGACCGACAUUGACGCUGAGGAGCGAAAGCCAGGGGAGCAAACGGG
rnacentral:rRNA from 1 species